rnacentral:tRNA from 1 species
AAUGUAGCCAAGUGGUAAGGCAAAAGAUUCUGGAUCUUUGAUCGUUGGUUCGAAUCCAACUAUU